ACGUGAGUCACUGGUCGCCAGGAAGAUUCCGAUUGGCUGGAAGGCACGCCCCUGCCCCGCCCUCCUUCUCCGGCAGAAUUCCCUCCUUUGGUCCUUAAAGAACUUCUGUUCUCGGUGAUUGGCCCGGGCGGAAGGCAGGGCCUGGAUUUAAAGGGACUGCGCCCUCCAGGGGCAGACGUGAGGGAAGUGACCUGUGGAGUUUGUAGCGGACCACUAAGAUUCCCCCCCACCCCACCCCCACCCCCGCUGGAAGGAAUUUCGAAAUCACCCGGCCUGGUACUGGUCAUACGCUAUUUUCAGAAGCCCAGAGAGACUGUGCCACUUGUUCAACUCCACAGUGCUCCUCCUGCUCUCCGGCAAUCUUCCAGAGUUGAGAAAAGAUCUUCCUCGACCUACGGUGGGGUUACAUCCUGAUAAACCCAUGGGGAGCUGCACCUCGCUGCCACUACACAGCAUCACGAGAGAGUAUCAGACCCAAUAUCGCUAGCCCAGGAGAAGAUGAAAAUUCAAAAUUCAAAGUACAUUUUCUACUGAACGAGUACUGCUUGUGCACCA